UGGGACAUAAAUUUGUUGGUCCCCUAAUCGCUCGUUGAUUUGAUUUGCGUCUUGGUCUUCAGUUCAUUCAACUCGUUUUCGUGAUUUGGCAAAGGUUGUACGCAUGAAGUAAAUAGGAAUCGGAUCAGAAGGCACCUCAAUAAAUUAAGGGGUGGUUCGAUUGCUAUGCAGAGGAGAUGAAUUGAAGAAAAAAUUCUACUAUUUGGUGUGUAGAUGGAGUUGCUGUCACGUUUUAAAUUCCAAAGCAGUCAUUGCUGCAAAACGACACAAGCGGCUGCGAUAGCUAAUGUCAUUGGAGGUUAAUUGCAAUAUAUAAUGGCAAUUGUAAGCCGUGAAUUGUUGUGAUAAGGAAGAAUGGAAAUAAUGUCUGAUUUA